GCCCCUGUAGCUCAGUUGGUAGAGCGCCUCACUUGUAAUGAGGAUGUCGCGGGUUCGACUCCUGUCGGGGGCU
rnacentral:tRNA from 2 species